rnacentral:rRNA from 1 species
UACGGAGGGAGCUAGCGUUGUUCGGAAUUACUGGGCGUAAAGCGCACGUAGGCGGCUAUUCAAGUCAGAGGUGAAAGCCCAGGGCUCAACCUUGGAACUGCCUUUGAAACUAGAUAGCUAGAAUCCUGGAGAGGCGAGUGGAAUUCCUGGUGUAGCGGUGAAAUGCGCAGAUAUCAGGAGGAACACCAAUGGCGAAGGCAGCUCGCUGGGACGUGACUGACGCUGAGGAGCGAAAGCGUGGGGAGCAAACAGG